UACGUAGGUGGCAAGCGUUGUCCGGAUUAUUGGGUUUAAAGGGUGCGUAGGCGGUCAAGUAAGUCAGCGGUGAAAUCCGGCAGCUCAACUGUCGAUGUGCCAUUGAUACUGCAUGACUUGAGUACUGAUGAGGUAGGCGGAAUUGACGGUGUAGCGGUGAAAUGCUUAGAUAUCGUCAAGAACACCGAUAGCGAAGGCAGCUUACUAAGCAGUAACUGACGCUGAUGCACGAAAGUGUGGGGAUCAAACAGG
rnacentral:rRNA from 1 species